CAAAACUCAUUGAAAAGAAGAGUAAGCAAAUAAACAAUUCCCUUAACAACAUUCUUGUUAAGACUAGAGAGCUUUCAUUUGGUGAAAGAAAGCAAUGGUUAUUUGUUGAAGAUGGUCUUGGAGAGGAAAAAUCAAGUUGAUUUUUACGGCAGCUACCGUUAAAAAGGCACCAAACCAUAAAAAAUGUGUUGUUUGGAUCGAGAUGGAAUUAUUUCCAAUAAAGGUGGUACCGCGAUCAUCGCCCUUUAC
rnacentral:ncRNA from 1 species